rnacentral:rRNA from 1 species
AUUGAACGCUGGCGGCAUGCCUUACACAUGCAAGUCGAACGGCAGCACGGGAGCAAUCCUGGUGGCGAGUGGCGAACGGGUGAGUAAUAUAUCGGAACGUGCCCAGUCGUGGGGGAUAACGCAGCGAAAGCUGUGCUAAUACCGCGUACGAUCUAUGGAUGAAAGCGGGGGAUCGCAAGACCUCGCGCGAUUGGAGCGGCCGAUAUCAGAUUAGCUAGUUGGUGAGGUAAAGGCUCACCAAGGCGACGAUCUGUAGCUGGUCUGAGAGGACGACCAGCCACACUGGAACUGAGACACGGUCCAGACUCCUACGGGAGGCAGCAGUGGGGAAUUUUGGACAAUGGGCGAAAGCCUGAUCCAGCAAUGCCGCGUGCAGGAUGAAGGCCUUCGGGUUGUAAACUGCUUUUGUACGGAACGAAACGGCGAGCUCUAAUACAGUUUGCUAAUGACGGUACCGUAAGAAUAAGCACCGGCUAACUACGUGCCAGCCGCCGCAGUAA